rnacentral:rRNA from 1 species
CCUGGUAAUAAUAGCGGGGGGGAACCACCAGUUCCCAUUUCGAACACUGAAGUUAAGCCCCCCAGCGCCAAUGGUACUGUCUCUUUCGGGGGAUGGGAGAGUAGGUCAUUGCCAGGC